GGAGUUAGCCGGUGCUUCUUCUGCGAGUAACGUCACAGAUGUAAGGUAUUAACUUACACCCUUUCCUCCUCGCUGAAAGUGCUUUACAACCCGAAGGCCUUCUUCACACACGCGGCAUGGCUGCAUCAGGGUUUCCCCCAUUGUGCAAUAUUCCCCACUGCUGCCUCCCGUAGGAGUCUGGGCCGUGUCUCAGUCCCAGUGUGGCUGAUCAUCCUCUCAGACCAGCUAGGGAUCGUCGCCUAGGUGAGCCUUUACCUCACCUACUAGCUAAUCCCACCUGGGCUUAUCCAUCAGCGCAAGGCCCGAAGGUCCCCUGCUUUCCCCCGUAGGGCGUAUGCGGUAUUAGCAGUCGUUUCCAACUGUUAUCCCCCACAAAUGGGCAAAUUCCCAGGCAUUACUCACCCGUCCGCCGCUCGUCAUCUACAANACANCUUAUAAUAGUACGCUCGACUGCAUGUGUUAGUCGUCGCCGCCACGCGUUACUACUACUGAGCCGAGAUACAACUACUCGA
rnacentral:rRNA from 1 species